GGCAGUGUAGCCAAGUGGUUACGGCGCCACGUUUAGGUCUUAGGACAAAACCGUGGUGGGUUUCCCGCGCGAGUUCGAAUCUCGUCACUGUCA